GACGAACGCUGGCGGCGUGCUUAACACAUGCAAGUCGAACGGAAAGGCCCUGCUUUUGUGGGGUGCUCGAGUGGCGAACGGGGGAGUAACACGUGAGUAACCUGCCCUUGACUUUGGGAUAACUUCAGGAAACUGGGGCGAAUACCGGAUAGGAGCUCCUGCUGCAUGGUGGGGGUUGGAAAGUUUCGGCGGUUGGGGAUGGACUAGCGGCUUAUCAGCUUGUUGGUUGGGUAGUGGCUUACCAAGGCUUUGACGGGUAGCCGGCCUGAGAGGGUGACCGGCCACAUGGGGACUGAGAUACGGCCCAGACUCCUACGGGAGGCAGCAGUGGGGAAUAUUGCGCAAUGGGCGGAAGCCUGAUGCAGCAACGCCGCGUGCGGGAUGCCGGCCUUCGGGUUGUAAACCGCUUUCGCAUGUGCCGAAGCGUGAGUGACGGUAAUGGGUAAAGAAGCACCGGCUAACUACGUG
rnacentral:rRNA from 1 species